GCUCUUUUAGUAUACUAAUUACAAUUGACUUCCAAUCUAUAGAAUCUGGUCUAACCCCAGAAAAGAGCA
rnacentral:tRNA from 1 species